rnacentral:rRNA from 1 species
AUGGGUGGUCGGGGCCAUUUGGGGGAGGAAAGGGGCGAGAAGAGCCCUCAUGAGGCUGACAUGGUGGGCCCACCUUCUCUGGGGGAUGCCUGGCAUAUGGUUUUUCAUCGGGUUAUUGGGGGCAUCGACCCUGACAACAACCUGCUAUGUUUGGUGAUCAGCAGCUGUUAUGUUGGGGGUUGCUCAUCUUCUUGCCCUGAUAAAAGUGCGAGCUUCCAUGGAAUUCAUAUUUUGUAUCGCUGGCCAGUUGUUUCUAAUGAGAGAAUAAGAGGCUGGGAUAGCAUAGCAAACAACCAUCAUCAUGGUUGUAUUUUGGAGGAAGUGGCAAAUUCCUCUACAUAG